rnacentral:rRNA from 1 species
UACGAAGGGUGCAAACGUUGCUCGGAAUUAUUGGGCGUAAAGGGCGCGUAGGCGGCUUUGCAAGUGACGGGUGAAAUCCCUCGGCUUAACCGAGGAACUGCCUGUCAGACUGCAUGGCUUGAGACCGGGAGAGGUGAGUGGAAUUCCCAGUGUAGCGGUGAAAUGCGUAGAUAUUGGGAGGAACACCAGUGGCGAAGGCGGCUCACUGGACCGGUACUGACGCUGAGGCGCGAAAGCGUGGGGAGCAAACGGG